UCUUCAUUCUUUACGAUUAUGUAUUUUUGGAUGCGCUUUUUUCCCUCUCAAAGCGGAACAACUUCUGUUUGAAUCGUGGAAAAUGGAAACAGGAACAGAAGCGGAAACGUGAAACACAACAUGUUCAAAUCGAGGAAAAUUGCUUAUCGUGAAAAGGAAAAAACGCCAAAACGUGCUUAUUUCGGAAGCGAUUCUCAAACGCAAUUCCAGAAUUAUCGGCACAGCUUUGAUGUUCUGGUUUUUCCGAUUUUGGUUUUAAGCUACAGUGUUUUGGUAAGCUAUUUUACGGUUUCGACGCACUUACGGGUUUGCUAUAACUUAUGAUUCUGAGCUGUUUUCUAUGCAAACUUGGUUGUGAACUAAAUAGACAGCAUACAUAAUAUAAAUUUGCCGAGUAUUUUUCCGGAUGUAGUGAUCAGGAGAAUAAAAUGCAGCUUUCUAUCAUGCUCGCAAAGUGUUCGAUAAAUUGCCUCUGUCGGUUCUUUCUUCUUUUUGCUUUUGUUUCAGUUCAAUUCUUGCUACAACAUUGAUGUUGUGCUGUUAUUUGCUGUUGUUGCAGGUUGUGGUUGACGAAUUGAUGGAAAAUUGGUGCCAGAUUUGUCGUUUCGCGCUAUGCCCACCAAAUGUUCGGUUAUGUGAAGGGUAAAUAGUCAACUACUUGCAGGCUGAUGCUAGACAUGGGGAAAUACUGGGUCAGCUUCUCUAUGAAUUUUCAGAAUGUUUUAUGCAAGUGUGCUCUUACGAGGAGUGUCAAACCUUGUAUCUGAUUAGCUCUAUUGUAUGCUUAUUUUUUCUUCUUCUUCAUACCCUCUAAUUUGAGAAAAAAGAGGAUUCAUUUUCACGACUUCAUGUUGAAUGUGCACAGCCUAUUACAAAAGCACAAAGGGCUUUUUGAUCCAUUGGAUGUUGUAGCAGAAGAGAUUUCUGAUGAAUUUUAUUAUGCCUUGACAAUCCGAAAUGGAACUACAACAAUGUUUACUCUCCUUUUCCAUUUCAAUCUUAAUCAUAUGAUGAAUUAAUGUAAGAGAGGACUUAUAUAACACUCUAGUGGUUGAUUUUAUGGAGUGUGCAACUGAGGUGGAUUCAAGAUAUUUCUUUCCUUACCUGAAAUGGAUUCCAAAUAAGAGCUUUGAGAUGAUAAUUAGUGGACUGGAUCGCCAAAAAGCAAUUAUCAUGAAGGCACUGAUUGAUGAGCAGAAAAGCGGUUGGCAUUAGGAAUGUGGCAUAUAUUUCAUUUGAGGCUUUGAUAUUGUUGCUUGGGUGGAUGUGAAGGAAUAUAAAACCCUUCAACCUGAUAAAAUUGCAGUUGAUGGUGGUGAGCAGUAUCUAAAGGAUCAAUUUUGAUUCAGAUUUAUGAAAGGGAAGAUACAAGACCACUCAAAAUUGUAGAUACAUGAAAGUGAAGUAUGAAAGGGAAGAUACAAG